rnacentral:rRNA from 1 species
UACGUAGGGUGCGAGCGUUGUCCGGAAUUAUUGGGCGUAAAGAGCUUGUAGGCGGUUUGUCGCGUCUGCUGUGAAAAUCCGGGGCUCAACCCCGGACUUGCAGUGGGUACGGGCAGACUAGAGUGUGGUAGGGGAGACUGGAAUUCCUGGUGUAGCGGUGAAAUGCGCAGAUAUCAGGAGGAACACCGAUGGCGAAGGCAGGUCUCUGGGCCACUACUGACGUUGAGAAGCGAAAGCAUGGGGAGCGAACAGG